rnacentral:rRNA from 1 species
GCAACUCGGCAACUCGACUCCAUGAAGUCGGAAUCGCUAGUAAUCGUGGAUCAGAAUGCCACGGUGAAUACGUUCCCGGGCCUUGUACACACCGCCCGUCACACCAUGGGAGUGGGUUGCAAAAGAAGUAGGUAGCUUAACCUUCGGGAGGGCGCUUACCACUUUGUGAUUCAUGACUGGGGUGAAGUCGUAACAAGGUAACCGUAGGGGAACCUGCGGUUGGAUCACCUCCUUA